rnacentral:rRNA from 1 species
ACUUAAGCAUAUCAAUAAGCGGAGGAAAAGAAACCAACAGGGAUUGCCCCAGUAACGGCGAGUGAAGCGGCAACAGCUCAAAUUUGAAAUCUGGUCCCCCCGCGGGGCCCGAGUUGUAAUUUGAAGAGGAUGCUUCUGGCAAGGUGCCGUCCGAGUUCCCUGGAACGGGACGCCGCAGAGGGUGAGAGCCCCGUACGGUCGGACGCCGAGCCUCUGUGAAGCUCCUUCGACGAGUCGAGUAGUUUGGGAAUGCUGCUCAAAAUGGGAGGUAAACCCCUUCUAAAGCUAAAUACCGGCCAGAGACCGAUAGCGCACAAGUAGAGUGAUCGAAAGAUGAAAAGCACUUUGAAAAGAGAGUUAAAAAGCACGUGAAAUUGUUGAAAGGGAAGCGCUUGCGACCAGACUCGCGCCCGUCGGAUCAGCCGUCGCUCGUCGGCGGCGCACUCCGGCGGGCUCGGGCCAGCAUCAGUUCGCCUCGGGGGGAGAAAGGCGGCGGGAAUGUGGCUCUACGGAGUGUUAUAGCCCGCCGCGUAAUACCCCCGGGCGGACUGAGGACCGCGCGUAUGCAAGGAUGCUGGCGUAAUGGUCGUCAGCGACCCGUCUUGAAACACGGACCAAGGAGUCGUCCUAAUAUGCGAGUGUACGGGUGUCAAACCCCUGCGCGUAAUGAAAGUGAACGGAGGUGAGAGCUUCGGCGCAUCAUCGACCGAUCCUGAUGUUCUCGGAUGGAUUUGAGUAAGAGCAUAUUGGGCCGGACCCGAAAGAAGGUGAACUAUGCCUGUGUAGGGUAAAGCCAGAGGAAACUCUGGUGGAGGCUCGCAGCGGUUCUGACGUGCAAAUCGAUCGUCAAACAUGGGCAUGGGGGCGAAAGACUAAUCGAACCUUCUAGUAGCUGGUUUCCGCCGAA